AUUGAACGCUGGCGGCAUGCCUUACACAUGCAAGUCGAACGGUAACAGGUCUUCGGAUGCUGACGAGUGGCGAACGGGUGAGUAAUACAUCGGAACGUGCCUAGUAGUGGGGGAUAACUACUCGAAAGAGUGGCUAAUACCGCAUGAGAUCUACUGAUGAAAGCAGGGGAUCGCAAGACCUUGUGCUACUAGAGCGGCCGAUGGCGGAUUAGGUAGUUGGUGGGAUAAAAGCUUACCAAGCCGACGAUCUGUAGCUGGUCUGAGAGGACGAUCAGCCACACUGGGACUGAGACACGGCCCAGACUCCUACGGGAGGCAGCAGUGGGGAAUUUUGGACAAUGGGCGCAAGCCUGAUCCAGCAAUGCCGCGUGCAGGAUGAAGGCCUUCGGGUUGUAAACUGCUUUUGUACGGAACGAAAAGCCCUGGGUUAAUACCCUGGGGUCAUGACGGUACCGUAAGAAUAAGCACCGGCUAACUACGUGCCAGCCGCCGCGGUAACAC
rnacentral:rRNA from 1 species